rnacentral:rRNA from 1 species
UACGGAGGGAGCAAGCGUUAAUCGGAAUUACUGGGCGUAAAGCGUGCGUAGACGGUUAUGUAAGUCAGAUGUGAAAGCCCCGGGCUUAACCUGGGAAUGGCAUUUGAGACUGCAUAGCUAGGGUGCGGAAGAGGGAAGCGGAAGUUUCCGGUGUAGCGGUGAAAUGCGUAGAUAUCGGAAGGAACACCAGUGGCGAAAGCGGCUUCCUGGUCCAGCACCGACGUCAGGCACGAAAGCGUGGGGAGCAAACAGG